UGCAUCGGCCGGGAAUCGAACCUGUUUCGAACGCGCGCGCAUUCUACCACUGAACCACCUAUGC